GAUCCUGCAAAAAGAAAGAAUCUAUUGAAGGCAUACAAUUGUUGUUUAACCUAAACUACUUUUUUCUCCUUUCGAUCGCCGUCUUCGCUGAUCCCCUUUCAUAUGUUUAUUUUUUCUUUGUACUUCAUCUCUCGAGAAUCUCUCCCUCUCUGUGUCAUUUGUGGCGGUUGUUGCGUGCAUAAAUCCAGUGGAUGUAAAAGAAGAUAGCGGGUUGGAGUUUUGGGGAAGAUGAUGUUCAACAUAAUUAUCACAGGAUGAGCUUUCUUCUGGGUUUGUAAAUUAGAAGGAUUCUUGUGUAUGGUGAAUUAUACUUAUAUGUUUCAGAAUGGUGAUUUUUAUUCAUGUGACAAAGUAUGAAACAGGUGCUUGCUUGGACCUGAGGUUUAAUGAGAGGGAGAGGGAAUCUAUAUAUUUUGGUGGAUAAUAUUCUUGGAUUAUAGGCAUAUGGUUCCCGGUGCAACGCGGCUUUAAGGAUCAUAAAUAGCAUAAGCAUUGUCGCUGAUAAGGGGCUCAAGAAGCCUCUUUUUACCUCUGCCGUCGUGAAGAAAGGAGAAGUUUUGUACUUAGAAACACAUUCAUGGAGGUAUGAGCUCUGUUUUGCGGGAGAGAAGACUAUCAAGCAAUCCAAGCCUCACAUCAACAAACAUCACAUGAAGCUAUGGAGACAUAAGAAUCUCGAGGCUCUCGAUUCCAGCCUGAAGAAACUCGGCUCGAUGUUGGUGGGUGAACGAGGAGAAGUUAUGGUUCACUGUUUUUCAAGAGGUAAAGAACCAGCUCACCAGGUUGGUCACAUUGCUUCAAACUUAAAUUUAUAUAAUUGCAGAUUUGGUAAACUAAUUUGCAGGGUUUGGCGAACCAAUUUGCAGCUUUAGAUUUUUUGAGUUAUAUACUUUGCAGGUUUUUGGCCAACAAAUUUGCAAAUUUUGGUUUGAUUAUGAAACAGUUCAUAGGCUAUUGACAUGUUUGAAGCAGAAAAAAAAGAAUGGGCAAGUGAUCUACUUGGAGCUGAAGCUUUUCUGGUUGUGACAUUGCGACUCAUAACUAUCGCUGGUUUGUCUAUUGAGGUGAAAUCAGGACAGGUCUCCGGUUCCACGGCAGGAGCAUGAGUUGUUUCGUGAGUAAACGCAACUAGGUCUCUCAGUUCAGUUUGUAGCUGUGAAAAUGCAGGCUUCUGCAAAAUGCAAUGUUCAAUUGCAGGAUGGGAAGGCACCAUUGUGUGAACAAGAGUAGCUUUGCGCAUCUCUGCUCUUAACUCAGCUUGUGAUAGAGAUGUUGUAGGUUCAGGUAGAGGAAGAGAAGGCACAGAGUGGACGAGAGCAGCUAUGCGUGUCUCCUUUCUUAGCCCUUUCUUAGCCCAGCUUGUGAUUUAGAAGUUGCAGGCUUCUGCAAAACGAAAAAAUGUUCAGGUAAUGGAAGGGAAGACAACACUGUGUGAAGAGGCGUGAACAUCCGCUUCUUCUUAAACGGGUCAUGUAAUUUGUGUUUUCUUUUUUGAAAAUACCACUAGGAUUUUACAUAUUUUAAUAAAUUUAUUUGGUUAUCACUUUUGCAAAUAUAAUAGUGUCAUUACUUUUUCUA